AUGGAGGCGCGGCCGGAACAGAACUGCAGACCGCGAAUGGAGAGGUCGCCGGUGAGGCAGCGUGACUGGGCUGCCAUGGACCCUGAUGAUGUAGCUCAAUUCUCCAUGUUAGCUAAGACCAACUACUACCUUCUGUUUGUGUGGGUGUGUGCCUGUUUCCUGCUAUCGUUGAAGAUAGCUCAUCCUUGUAGCCCUGGCAAGGCAAACGUGUGUGUGCUUUGUAACCGUAGUGACUACUGUUGUUUUCUGAUGUAUGGCAACCGCUACAGUUUAUGCAACCUAAUGAUGUUCUAUGGAUUUUGCUAUAUCAGUCCCAGGCAGCCUCUGCUUUCUAUGUCCCAACUUGCUGAUGCUAAAUUGAUGUGUUCAAAGUUUCAAUAUGACUGA
rnacentral:rRNA from 1 species